UGGCGAAAGGGGCAGUAAGGCGUGGGUAACCUACCCUGGGGACUGGGAUAGCCGUUCUAACGGACGGGUAAUACCGGGCGAUGUAGCGAGAGGGCAUCCUUUUGCUACCAAAGGAAUUUCGCCCUGGGAGGGGCUCACGUGAUAUUAGCUAGUUGGUGAGGUAACGGCUCACCAAGGCAAAGAUGUCUAGCGGGUGUGAGAGCACGACCCGCGCCACUGGCACUGAGACACUGGCCAGACUCCUACGGGAGGCUGCAGUCGAGGAUCUUCGGCAAUGGGCGCAAGCCUGACCGAGCGACGCCGCGUGAGCGAUGAAGGCCUUCGGGUUGUAAAGCUCUGUCGAGGGGGAGGAAGCCGCAAGGUUGACCUAUCCCUGGAGGAAGCACGGGCUAAGUUCGUGCCAGCAGCCGCGGUAAGACGAACCGUGCGAACGUUAUUCGGAAUCACUGGGCUUAAAGGGCGCGUAGGCGGGCCAUCAAGUCCGGGGUGAAAUCUUUCGGCUUAACCGGAAAACAGCCUUGGAUACUGGUGGUCUCGAGGGAGGUAGGGGCUUGUGGAACUUCCGGUGGAGCGGUGAAAUGCGUUGAUAUCGGAAGGAACGCCGGUGGCGAAAGCGACGAGCUGGACCUCUUCUGGCGCUGAGGCGCGAAAGCCAGGGGAGCGAACGGGAUUAGAUACCCCGGUAGUCCUGGCCCUAAACGAUGGGUACUAGGUAGUGGACUGGACAUGGGUUCACUGCCGAAGCUAAAGUGUUAAGUACCCCGCCUGGGGAGUAUGGUCGCAAGGCCGAAACUCAAAGGAAUUGACGGAAUCGA
rnacentral:rRNA from 1 species